rnacentral:guide_RNA from 1 species
AUACAAAACAACGAAUACAAGUUUAAGUGAGUAAUAUAGUGU